CACAUUCAAAGAGUGCGUAAUAGCUCACUAGUCGAGAGGUCCUGCGCCGAAAAUUUCCGGGGCUAAAACACGAUACCGAAGCUUAGGAAUGUAGCAAUACAUUGGUAGAGGAGCAAUCUCAGAGUGCCGAAGCGCUACCGCAAGGAAGCGUGGAGUUCUGAGAAGAGAGAAUGCCGGAAUGAGUAGCGAGAAUGAUGUGAGAAUCAUCAUGGCCGAAUAUCCAAGGAUUCCAGGGUAAAGCUGAUCUGCCCUGGGUAAGUCGGGACCUAAGGCGAGGGAGAGAUCCGUAGUCGAUGGACAGCAGGUUCAUAUUCCUGCACCUGACAUGAUCAGAACUGUGGGGACACAGGAACAAAACCGGACCCGGGAGAGCAAAGACCGGGCGAAGCGAAGCUAGGAGUGCGGUAGGCAAAUCCGCCGCACAAUCCGAAAGCGUGACAGGGAGCGAAAUAUAAGUAGCGAAGCCGGUGGAGGGACUGUCGAGAAAAGCCGCUAUUGUAUCAUGUCAGCCCGUACCGCAAACCGACACAGGUGGAUGAGGAGAGAAUCCUAAGGCCGGCGGGAGAAGCAUUGUUAAGGAACUCGGCAAAAUGACCCCGUAACUUCGGGAGAAGGGGUGCCCAGGCAACUGGGCCGCAGAGAAAAGGCUCAAGCAACUGUUUAGCAAAAACACAGGUCUAUGCGAAACCGUAAGGUAAAGUAUAUGGGCUGACGCCUGCCCGGUGCUGGAAGGUUAAGAGGAGAGGUUAGCGCAAGCGAAGCUUUGAAUUGAAGCCCCAGUAAACGGCGGCCGUAACUAUAACGGUCCUAAGGUAGCGAAAUUCCUUGUCGGGUAAGUUCCGACCCGCACGAAAGGCGUAAUGAUUUGAGCGCUGUCUCAACAAUGCACCCGGUGAAAUUGAAGUACCAGUGAAGAUGCUGGUUACCCGCGCCAGGACGGAAAGACCCCAUGGAGCUUUACUCCAGCUUGAUACUGGGAUUCGGUAAUGUAUGCACAGGAUAGGUGGGAGACUGAGAGGAUAGUACUUCGGUAUUAUCGGAGUCGCUGUUGGGAUACCACCCUUAUGUUAUUGGAUUUCUAACCUUAGGCCGUAAGCCGGUCAAGGGACAAUGUCAGGUGGGGAGUUUGACUGGGGCGGUCGCCUCCGAAAGUGUAUCGGAGGCGCUCAAAGGUUCCCUCAGGAUGGUUGGAAACCAUCCAAAGAGUGUAAAGGCAUAAGGGAGCCUGACUGCGAGGCUGACGGGCCAAGCAGAGUAGAAAUACGGACUUAGUGAUCCGGUGGUAUGAAAGUGGGAUUGCCAUCGCUCAACGGAUAAAAGCUACCCUGGGGAUAACAGGCUGAUCUCCCCCAAGAGUUCACAUCGACGGGGAGGUUUGGCACCUCGAUGUCGGCUCAUCGCAUCCUGGGGCUGAAGUCGGUCCCAAGGGUUGGGCUGUUCGCCCAUUAAAGCGGUACGCGAGCUGGGUUCAGAACGUCGUGAGACAGUUCGGUCCCUAUCCGGCGCGGGCGUAGGAUAUUUGAGAGGAUCUGUCCUUAGUACGAGAGGACCGGGAUGGACUGACCUCUGCUGAACCUGUUGGGAAUCAAUCCCAUCGCAGGGUAGGCAAGUUGGGAAUGGAUAAACGCUGAAGGCAUCUAAGCGUGAAGCCAACCUCAAGAUGAGAUAUCCCAUCGUAAGAGUAAGACCCCUUGAAGAGAACGAGGUAGAUAGGGCUGAGGUGUAAGUGCUGCAAAGCAUUCAGCUGACAGCUACUAAUAGGUCGAGGGCUUAUCCAA
rnacentral:rRNA from 1 species